rnacentral:rRNA from 1 species
AUUGAACGCUGGCGGCGUGCCUAAUACAUGCAAGUAGAACGCAGUUGCGAACGGGUGAGUAACGCGUAGGUAACUGCCUGGUAGCGGGGGGUAACUAUUGGAAACGAUAGCUAAUACCGCAUACUACCAGACUGACCUGCGUUGUAUUAGCUAGUUGGUGGGGUAACGGAUCACCAAGGCAACGAUACAUAGCCGACCUGAGAGGGUGAUCGGCCAAAAUGGGACUGAGGAACGGGCCAGACUCCUACGGGAGGCAGCAGUAGGGAAUCUUUGGAAAUGGACGGAAGUCUGACCGAGCAACGCCGGGGGAGUGAAGAAGGGUUGCGGAUCGUAAAGCUCUGUUGUAAGAGAAGCGGUAUCUUACCAGAAAGGGACGGCUAACUCCGUGCCAGCAGCCGCGGUAAUUC